GGCACGCCUAACACAUGCAAGUCGAACGAAGUAGCAAUACUUAGUGGCAGACGGGUGAGUAACAUGUGGGUAUCUACCCUUUGGCCUGGAAUAACACGAGGAAACUUGUGCUAAUACUGGAUAAGUCUUUACGGAGAAAGCUUUAUGCACCAUUGGAUGAGCCUGCACUUGAUUAGUUAGUUGGUAGGGUAAUGGCCUACCAAGACUGUGAUCAAUAGCUGAUUUGAGAGGAUGAUCAGCCACAUUGGGACUGAGACACGGCCCAAACUCCUACGGGAGGCAGCAGUGGGGAAUCUUGCACAAUGGAGGAAACUCUGAUGCAGCGAUGCCGCGUGAGUGAAGAAGGCCCUUGGGUUGUAAAGCUCUUUCGUCGGGGAAGAAAAUGACUGUACCCGAAUAAGAAGGUCCGGCUAACUUCGUGCCAGCAGCCGCGGUAAUACGAAGGGACCUAGCGUAGUUCGGAAUUACUGGGCUUAAAGAGUUCGUAGGUGGUUGAAAAAGUUGGUGGUGAAAUCCCAGAGCUUAACUCUGGAACUGCCAUCAAAACUUUUCAGCUAGAGUUUGAUAGAGGAAAGCAGAAUUUCUAGUGUAGAGGUGAAAUUCGUAGAUAUUAGAAAGAAUACCAAUUGCGAAGGCAGCUUUCUGGAUCAAUACUGACACUGAGGAACGAAAGCAUGGGUAGCGAAGAGGAUUAGAUACCCUCGUAGUCCAUGCCGUAAACGAUGUGUGUUAGACGUUGGAAAUUUAUUUUCAGUGUCGCAGCGAAAGCGAUAAACACACCGCCUGGGGAG
rnacentral:rRNA from 1 species